AUAUUUUUACUUCCAUCCUAAAUUACUUGUCUUAAAUUUGUCUAUAUACAGAUGUAUCUAACUCUGGCACGUGUUUAGAUACAUCCGUAUGUAGACAAAUGUAAGACAAGUAAUUCGGGGCGGAGGGAGUAUAAU
rfam:Triticum aestivum genome assembly, contig: Triticum_aestivum_CS42_TGACv1_scaffold_020459_1AS